CGCGCAGGCGGUUCCUUAAGUCUGAUGUGAAAGCCCACGGCUCAACCGUGGAGGGUCAUUGGAAACUGGGGAACUUGAGGACAGAAGAGGAGAGUGGAAUUCCACGUGUAGCGGUGAAAUGCGUAGAUAUGUGGAGGAACACCAGUGGCGAAGGCGACUCUCUGGUCUGUUUCUGACGCUGAGGUGCGAAAGCGUGGGUAGCAAACA
rnacentral:rRNA from 1 species